GUCCCUAUAGCGCAUUGGAUAGCGCAUUGAACUUCUCAUUCAAAAGUCGUGGGUUCGAAACCAACCUGGGAUG